UACGUAGGGGGCAAGCGUUGUCCGGAAUCACUGGGCGUAAAGGGCGCGUAGGUGGCGUCGCAAGUCAACGGUGAAAGCUCGACGCUCAACGUCGAGUCGGCCGUCGAGACUGCGAGGCUCGAGCACUGUAGAGGCAGAUGGAAUUCCGGGUGUAGCGGUGGAAUGCGUAGAGAUCCGGAAGAACACCGGUGGCGAAGGCGGUCUGCUGGGCAGUUGCUGACACUGAGGCGCGACAGCGUGGGGAGCAAACAGG
rnacentral:rRNA from 1 species